rnacentral:misc_RNA from 1 species
GACGAGGGGUCCAAACGUUGCUCGGAAUCAUUGGGCGUAAAGCGGGUGUAGGCGGCCAUGUAAGUCAGAUGUGAAAGCCCCGGGCUCAACCCGGGAAUUGCAUUUGAUACUGCAUGGCUUGAGUGUGGGAGAGGAUAGCAGAAUUCCUGGUGUAGUGGUGAAAUACGUAGAUAUCAGGAGGAAUAUCGGUGGCGAAGGCGGCUAUCUGGCCCAACACUGACGCUCAGACCCGAAAGCGUGGGGAGCAAACAGG